AAUAUAGGUUAUACAAUUUACCCAAAAGGAAGAGGACCCUGAAUUUAAGACCCCACACCACAAUUUCUAACACAAAAGGACUUGCAAAAAACCUAGUCUUGGGUCCAGGUAGAUAUAGUUCUAUACAUGGUUUCACCCACCAUUUUAUCCUCACAACCCUGCGAGGUAGUUAGGCUGAGAGAUCACACCUGACCUAAGGCCUCCCAAUUAGUUUUAUGGAUGAAUGGGGAUUUGAACCUGGAUCUCCUAAGUCCUAGGCCAGGUUCAAAUGGACCCAUGGUUCCAUGCCCCGCUCCCCCCCCCUUUUCUAUCCACAUUCAGACGUUGGGGAGAGGGGCCUCUCUGCAGUCAGUGAGACUGCAGAGAAGCAGGGGAGCUGGCUGUGUGGGCUUCCUUCUUGACAGAAGGACAGCUCACAUAGCCAAUUGGGCCAGAAUGAAGGAGGAGCUUCCUGCCUCAACUCUGGUCCUGUCAGGCCUAAACUGCAGUGCCAGCAUUCAAACAUAGCACAUGCAGCACUAAACCAGAGUUAAGGGUGGCGAAACUCCAUUCUGACUGAAGGUACAGGUCCCUUUUCGCCCUUAACAUUGGUUUGCCGAGUUUGGAUGUGCGGCUUUGGAAACUGGAGGUGAAGGGAUCUCCAGUUCCCCAGUACAUUCAAACUAAGCUCUAUUCUCACAUACUUCGCCAUACCAGCUCUCGAUAGCUUCAGAGCAUUCUUCUGUGUUUGGGUUGUCACAGGUACAACUGUAUUAAAGUGUCUUAACUAUAUGGAAUGUGCCAUUGUACAAGUGCUACUGCUAUUCCAAUGAAUAAUUAAAAGAGCAUGAAAAAAAAUUAAAAGUCUAUUUCUGUUCACUGUUAUGUAUUUGGUCAAUCUGACUGAUGCAGCUUAGUCAAACUCAUGUAAAUGCCCCCAUAUCAGAUACAAAAAUUUGUUUGUCUUUCAGUAUUUUGCAAUGAGCAUUAUGGCAGCAGUAAUAACAUAUGUCAUUAAUCCUCUGUUUUGCCUUUAUAUUUUUAGUAUACAUAAAUAAAUUAGUGGGGAAUUGAGAACAUAUUUAAACCAAAGUAGGUAAUGAUUUUAUUAGAAUGAACAAAACAGAAAAGAAAGCAUCAAACAGCAAGCUUUUGAGUCCUACAAAACUCUUCAAAAGGGCAGAUGGCAAACAAAAAGGAGCAGGUCUAAGAAUGGGAUCCAAAUUAUUCCAAGUGCAACAUUAUUGGAUCAGAUCUAAUUGUCAGUGGUUGACCUCCAGAGCACCAGGAGCACUCUGUGAAUGCACCAAGAAGACAUGUCUGCACUGUGUAGAGAUUUCCCUCUACUGCUACAGCUGUGCCUGCCUGCAGUGGAAGAGAAGGAUUCUGUUCAUUACUUAUGUUCCCCUUUGCCUUUUUAAACUCCAUUUUCCGUUGAUUUCUUGGUAUUUCCUGUUUCCACUUUCCAAGUUGAUCUUUCCCUGCUCUUGUCAUUUCCAAUUCACUUCUCAUUCUGUGUGUGUCAGUCUCCCUUUUACCUUUCCCUUCUCCUUUGUCUUUUUCUCAUUCUGCAGAACUCCUCUGUGUCAUUUUCUUCCCACUUCACUAGUUCUCUCCCCAACUAAACCGGCAAGUGGAAUGAGCAAGAGUAGUGUGCAAAUUGAUAUGGAAAGCAUCUGUGGGCUUACAGUUCAAGAGCUCUCUAAGGCAAAAGGAACAAUUUUUUAAAUUUUAAGGCAAAUUUGGGUUGACAAAAGCAACAAGCUGGAAAACACUUUCUGAAUAUCAUCAGAUCCUCCAGCAAAGCAUCUGUACUGGCCUAUCACUACCAAUAGUAAGAUAAUCACUACCCUAUGAUAAAGGGAACUAUUACAGCAGUCACCCUCCAGCAAACAAGAUAUAACCAAGAUCCUUCAAGCACCUACUGAAUGCCAGUCAAUAAUUUAAGAGUCUAAUCACAAAGAAAUGGAAAGACUACAUCAUUACCUUGCUGCACAAGUACAGAACUGAAUACAAGGUUCUAAAAUGAGAGUUCUUCUCCCUGGAAUCCUUACAUUCUUCCAGAAGAAUCCCCCACCCCCAAUGAAUGAAUGAAUGAAUGAAUGAAUGUAUUUUUAGAAUAGAGUUUGUACACAGGGAGCAUUCUGAAGAACAUAUAGCUCCCCUUCCAACAUCCUGUUUACGUUGCCUGAGGGUCUUAUGAGGUAUGAUAACUGUUCAAUUUUCCAGAAGAGGUCAUAGAGUAAAAUUUAUACUUAAAAUGACAUUCCUAUUACAGACUAAAGCUAAAACUUUAAUGCUGCACUGCUGUUUCUGAUGUUCACCAUCAAACAAUCAACAACUAAAAUAAUUCUAGUUUAUUAACCAUCGAGCUAAACCAAAUGUAGUGUGGCUGUAUGUAUGAUCCAAUAUGAUUAUUUGUACUCGUUUCUGAAGACUACAUAUAUUUAGCCUCCUAAAUAAUAUUUUCAGACUUGCUCUUCAACUGACACACCUGGUGUACAUGAAAGUUGGUCAUCUCCCCAGACAGCAAUGUGCCUCAUGUAAUACUCAUCCACUUAUCUGAGAUUCCAUUAUCUAGAAGGUUUCAGAUGUCUCUGAAUAAGUAAGGGAGCAAUGCUUUCCACUGUCAGGGGAUGUGACCGACUUUCAGUUAACCAGGAGUUUAGGUUAACAAGAGGUUCAAUAAAUAAGCAUGAACUAACUGCUGGCUUACCUCACUUUCUACAUGCCAGGUGUUAUUUAUGACUGGAUAUAUUAAUGUUCUGUGUAACAAGCAAAUGUAAGUCGGGGGAAAGGGCUUGCUAAAGAAAUGAUACAUUGCAUUGAUAGAGAAAUCACUGUUGUGCAUUUCUGUUCUUCUUUGCUAUUUUUAGUCCUUGUAAAUUGUUCUGUCUAUUACUGAAUCUCCCCUAGGCGAUUAAAGUAACCUGGUAGAAUGCAAAACAGAGAAAGCAA